CUGAGAAACGGCUACCACAU
rnacentral:ncRNA from 5 species